AUACUGUGCUGGAGGGGCAACAGAUCCACUGAUUAUGGGCAAUGGAACCGGGCUGACUGUGAACCCCAAAGAUACAACACCCAGGGAACCUUCCCUGUCUGUGUUUACCCCUCCAAAGGAAAAGGAUACAGCAGUAUGUGUGGCCACUGGAUUCUUUCCAAAAAAUAUGAACAUUUCCAUGAGGGUUGGCGAUGGAGACCCAAAAAUUACAGCCUCGAAUGAUAAAGCCGUGCUGUCUCUGACUGAUAAAACCUACAACUUUGCUGCCUUCUUGACUGUCGAUAAGGGAAAAGAUCAGGAAGUCACAUGUAAAGCAAAUGGAGAGACAGAAAAAUCCAUCAAGAAGGAAGAAUCAGCUAAUAACACAGGUCAUAUGGACUCUGCACCAACCUGUGAAAGAAAUGAUCAGAAGAGCGUGACAAUUGAAAGCAUACAUCUCAAUUUCAAGUCCCUGACUCUGCAAGGUUUGAGAGUGAUGUUUGUUAAAACUGUGGCCUUCAAUUUUCUGAUGACAGUCCGAGCCUUGAUGUUCUGAUGUCUGGGACUGAGAUACAGAUGACCGGAAAGCACAGAAGGAGCUGUUGGAAAUUGAAAUUGCUUUGAGAUUGCAUUGCUUCUAGUUAUGCUUUUGAAAAAUAUUUGCAAGUUAGGUUGCUUGGGUGUAAAAUUUGAAGUAAAAAAUGCUUUAACUGUAAAAUAAUGUGUUUUAUUAAUUUAUCCUAUUAGUUUUUUGGUUAAAGCUUGUGGCUAUAUUUACUAAGAUUUGCUGCAAUAGAAGGUUUGUCUUACUUUUUGUUACUACUACUACUAAUAAUAAUAAUCUGGCCCAUUUUGUUAACCGGACAAUAAUUGCUAGUAAGAAUAAUUGCUAUGGGAUGCGAUCUUUGACAUUUACUACUGGGAAGCAAAGAAAAUUGAAGGUACAAACGCUCAUGAAAACCAUUACAUUUUAUAAACACUUUUAUAGUUUUCUUUUCUAUUAAGUUCAACAAUAGCUUUUUAAUAGUAUCAUUAAAUACAUGUUUGUAGUAUUAUAUAUUUCUUUUCAAAUAAUGUUAAAUAAGAAAGGUAAAACUGAAAGCGAUAGAUAUUUUAGUUCCAUUAAAUAAUAUGAAUCUUGUUCAAUUUAAAAUAUGUUUUUGUUUUAGUAUUUUAGAUGCAUAUUUUAUUACAGCUCUAAACACGUCUUUGACAAGACUAAAUGCUUAUUAUAGCAAUGAAUGCUUCAAUAAAGUGCAUGAAACAAC